CAGGGAUUGCCCUAGUAACGGCGAGUGAAGCGGCAACAGCUCAAAUUUGAAAUCUGGCUCCGGCCCGAGUUGUAAUUUGCAGAGGAUGUUUCUGGCGCGGUGCCUUCCGAGUUCCCUGGAACGGGACGCCACAGAGGGUGAGAGCCCCGUAUGGUUGGACACCAAGCCUGUGUGAAACUCCUUCGACGAGUCGAGUAGUUUGGGAAUGCUGCUCAAAAUGGGAGGUAAAUCUCUUCUAAAGCUAAAUACCGGCCAGAGACCGAUAGCGCACAAGUAGAGUGAUCGAAAGAUGAAAAGCACCUUGAAAAGGGGGUUAAACAGUAUGUGAAAUUGUUGAAAGGGAAGCACUUGUGACCAGACUUGUGCCGGGCGGUUCAUCCGGGGUUCUCCCCGGUGCACUCCGCCCGGUAUAGGCCAGCAUCGGUUCUUUCUGGGGGAUAAGAACGGUGGGAACGUGGCCCUCCCUCGGGAGGGUGUUAUAGCCCGCCGUACGAUACCCUGGAGGGGACCGAGGUUCGCGCUCCGCAAGGAUGCUGGCGUAAUGGUCACCAGUGACCCGUCUU
rnacentral:rRNA from 1 species